GCAGGGAAUAUUGUGCAAUGGGCGAAAGCCUGACACAGCGACGCCGCGUGAGGGAAGAAGGCCUUCGGGUUGUAAACCUCUUUUCUCAGGGAAAAAUAAUGAUGGUACCUGAGGAAUAAGUGUCGGCUAACUACGUGCCAGCAGCAGCGGUAAUACGUAGGACACGAGCGUUAUCCGGAUUCACUGGGCGUAAAGAGAGCGUAGGCGGUCCUUCAAGUCGAGUGUGAAAUCUCCUGGCUCAACUGGGAGAAGCCAUUCGAUACUGUUGGACUAGAGGACAGCAGAGGGAGACGGAAUUCCCGGUGUAGUGGUGAAAUGCGUAGAUAUCGGGAGGAACACCCGUGGCGAAGGCGGUCUCCUGGGCUGCACCUGACGCUGAGGCCCGAAAGCGCGGGGAGCGAACAGGAUCAGAUACCCCUGUAGUCC
rnacentral:rRNA from 1 species